UACGUAGGGUGCAAGCGUUGUCCGGAAUUAUUGGGCGUAAAGAGCUCGUAGGCGGUCUGUCUCGUCGGCUGUGAAAACCCGGGGCUCAACCCCGGGCCUGCAGUCGAUACGGGCAGACUAGAGUGCGGUAGGGGAGACUGGAAUUCCUGGUGUAGCGGUGAAAUGCGCAGAUAUCAGGAGGAACACCGGUGGCGAAGGCGGGUCUCUGGGCCGUAACUGACGCUGAGGAGCGAAAGCGUGGGGAGCGAACAGG
rnacentral:rRNA from 1 species